ACUCCACAUACGCAUCCUUUGCUGAGGAUACGGUUAACGGAGCGAAAGCGACGUUCAACCGCAAAAGAAGCAGAGGGGGCUUAGUGGUGGGGUGACUGCGUACCUUUUGUAUAAUGGGUCAGCGACUUAUAUUCUGUAGCAAGGUUAACCGCAUAGGGGAGCCGGAGGGAAACCGAGUCUUAAUUGGGCGUUAAGUUGCAGGGUAUAGACCCGAAACCCGGUGAUCUAGCCAUGGGCAGGUUGAAGGUUGGGUAACACUAACUGGAGGACCGAACCGACUAAUGUUGAAAAAUUAGCGGAUGACCUGUGGCUGGGGGUGAAAGGCCAAUCAAACCGGGAGAUAGCUGGUUCUCCCCGAAAGCUAUUUAGGUAGCGCCUCGUGAAUUCAUCUCCGGGGGUAGAGCACUGUUUCGGCUAGGGGGCCAUCCCGGCUUACCAACCCGAUGCAAACUGCGAAUACCGGAGAAUGUUAUCACGGGAGACACACGGCGGGUGCUAACGUCCGUCGUGAAGAGGGAAACAACCCAGACCGCCAGCUAAGGUCCCAAAGUCAUGGUUAAGUGGGAAACGAUGUGGGAAGGCCCAGACAGCCAGGAUGUUGGCUUAGAAGCAGCCAUCAUUUAAAGAAAGCGUAAUAGCUCACUGGUCGAGUCGGCCUGCGCGGAAGAUGUAACGGGGCUAAACCAUGCACCGAAGCUGCGGCAGCGACACUAUGUGUUGUUGGGUAGGGGAGCGUUCUGUAAGCCUGCGAAGGUGGCCUGUGAGGGUUGCUGGAGGUAUCAGAAGUGCGAAUGCUGACAUAAGUAACGAUAAAGCGGGUGAAAAGCCCGCUCGCCGGAAGACCAAGGGUUCCUGUCCAACGUUAAUCGGGGCAGGGUGAGUCGACCCCUAAGGCGAGGCCGAAAGGCGUAGUCGAUGGGAAACGGGUUAAUAUUCCCGUACUUGGUGUUACUGCGAAGGGGGGACGGAGAAGGCUAUGUUGGCCGGGCGACGGUUGUCCCGGUUUAAGCGUGUAGGUGUGUGUUCCAGGUAAAUCCGGUU
rnacentral:rRNA from 1 species